GCUCCGUUGGUGAACCAGCGGAGGGAUCAUUACAGGGUUUUCACAACUCCCAACCCAUGCGAACCGUACCCAUUCUGUUCUCGUUGCUUCCGGCGGGGGGGACGGGGGGGCCCGAAACGGCCUCCCCGCCCCGCCCGCCGGGGGCGGCGGGCCCUACGAACCUUUAUAUCUCAACCACCAGAAACCGUCUGAGAAAACAAACAAAAUAAUCAAAACUUUCAACAACGGAUCUCUUGGCUCUG
rnacentral:misc_RNA from 1 species